rnacentral:rRNA from 1 species
UCCAGAGGGUGCAAGCGUUAAUCGGAAUUACUGGGCGUAAAGCGCGCGUAGGUGGUUUGUUAAGUUGGAUGUGAAAGCCCCGGGCUCAACCUGGGAACUGCAUCCAAAACUGGCAAGCUAGAGUACGGUAGAGGGUGGUGGAAUUUCCUGUGUAGCGGUGAAAUGCGUAGAUAUAGGAAGGAACACCAGUGGCGAAGGCGACCACCUGGACUGAUACUGACACUGAGGUGCGAAAGCGUGGGGAGCAAACAGG